CCGCUGCUUCCAUGCAGAUCUUACCAUUAUCAUCAAAAACUCUUACCAUUAUCAUCAAAAACCUAAAUUGUGAUUUCCGAUUCUCACUUACCCCAUUGGAUCUAGGGGUUUCCGCACUUGUGUUCCUGAAAAAAUAUAAACAAAAUUACAAAUUUGAUCUCUUUAAUUUUGGGGUUUUUUCUUCUAUGGGUUUAUUCAGAUGUAUACCCAGUUACACACUUGUUGUUAAUAGCACGGUUUGGAGAGGAGAUUGAAGACGGGGUUUCUUUUUUUCUUGUAUCCACCACCACAUAGCAGCCCCUUGCCAUCGCCUAUGCAGUCUAAUCGAUUGGAGUUAGAAGUGUGUAUUUCAAUUAGUAGUUAAUGUUUGUAUUCAAUUGAAUUGGAUUAUCCAAUUAACUUUAAUUUGUCUUUAUAUCUCAAAAAUCAGAAUUGGUGUAUGAAUUGAAGUGUUUGUGUAUGAAGCAUUAUAUGGAUUAAAGUGUCUCGUGUAUGAAAAACUGAAGGAGGUGGAGGUGGUGGCAGUGAGUAUGAAUUGAAAUUUGCAAUUGGUGAACUUGAAAUCUAUAAUCGACAUUGGUUGCUGGUGAUGGUUCUGCUGAUAGUGGAGGGUGUUGGUGGUGACAAAAAGUAAAGCAAAAUUGAAUCGAAAUUGGAAAAUUGGUGGAAUAUAGUGUUGCUGGCGGUGAUGGUGGACGGUGUCGGCGGUGCAGAUUCAGAGUUAGCUGAUUAAGAAAUUGUAAGGAAGAGGCGGGGGUUUUAGAAAUAAGGAAGGGAUUACUGUUAACUUGGUUGUACUGUUGGUGAUGUUUACAGUGGUGUAAAAAGCGGUUCUGCUGCUGAUGUUGAUGAUUGUAUCGGUUGGUAGUGGAGGUGUUGUUUACAGUGGUGACGGCGCUGCUGCUGGUGUGGUAGUGGUGGCGGAAGAGAUAGGUUGGCGCUAGUGGUUGUGGCGGUGGAGGUGAUGGGUUCGGUGGUAACGGCUGUGUUCUGGCGCUGCUGGUGAUGGAGGAGCUAUCGGUGAUGUCUUCUCUAAACUGAAGAAGAAACUGAGAAACAAAAGAGACGAUGAAGGAGUGCUAUUUUCGUCAAGUGACGGAAAAAAAACCGGACCCAAAUCAAAAUCUUUUUAUAAAAUUGAAAUUUUGGCCAUAAAAGAUUCUCCCUUCCUACGGGCCCUCCGAUCGGUCGGCCCAAUAAUCGUACGAAUCCAAUAUUCACUCAUCUGAAUAAUUGGAAUGAGCUGAAUCGGAAAAGACUGCUGUUAGAUGAGGUAUGAAGUUGCAGCCAGUGAUUCCUAUGAUAAACCUGAUGCUGGAAGUGAUGAAAGUUAAAAUUCUCCCUUUCGGGCGAAAUCAUCAUCUGUGUUUCAGUUAAAAUCUCCCUUCCGGCGAAUCCAUCAGCUGAGCCUGAUGGUGAAAGUACUGAAAUUCCAUGUCUUUCCAACUUCCAAAGACCAGAAGCAGAAACUGAUCAGAAUCACUGAUCUGCAUAGUUGGUUUGAGGGGACUUGAUAAAGUUAACUAUUUCGCAGCAAAAGGCUGCUGUUCCCAUAUUUUGGAAAAAAAGCAUUGAUAAAGUAUUGAUAAGGUUAAAGCAGCCAUUGGACCAUGUUUGAUUCUCCCUUUCGGCGAAAUCAUCAUCUGGUGCCUAUCUUCCGAUGCAACAAGAAAAUACAAUGCUAACAAGGUAUGGGUGUAAUUUCAACUGCCAUUUAACUCGAUACUUAUUCUCUAACAAUGCUUUUAUUCUACAGUCCUGUAAGAAUGGUUUGAAUAAUAAGUAAAUGGGCAAGUGUUAUUGGACAUGACAAUUUGGGUCCUUAUAUGCACACAUUUGCUUAGUUUUAGAUUAGAUGGCAGGUAUUGAUUUACUAUUUAGGUGCCAGGAGGAAUGUUCGGUAGUAUAUGUUUGUUUAGAUCCCUUGAGACUCUCACCUUAAAAAGACGUAAGAUUAGAUUUUCUUGUAUUGAUUUGUUGGUCAGUAAGACAGCAACCUUACUUGUAUGAACUAUGGUGUUAUCUUGUCGAGGAAACAUCACUGCUUUGAUGCCAUCGGGGUGUUGCUAAAAUAAUCUCAGCUGUUUAACUGGAUAGACCAAUGGGAUAAACAAGCUCGGGGAGGAUAAGGGAUUUCUGUGAGCCGAACAUCAGGUGGAUCUCUAGGUUUGAAGUCUGGCCUUUCUUGAGCAGUACACGAGGAUGUUGCAAAAGAACUUGCCUCCUAAUCGAAGGGAAAGCCAGAUCUGAUAGUUGGUAACUUCAGUGAUGGAAAGAUUGUGGCAUCUUUGGCCACACACGAAUUAUGACUCAUACAGGUGUUCAGUUCACAGGUAUACAGGGUAGAUAUACUCAGAAAGGCUCAUGACAGUCUGGGAUUUAUGGAUUCUGGAAGUACACCUUAAACCAUGAACAUAGGGAAACUCACAAUCCUCUUAAGAUGUUUUGUGCUCUCGAGAAUUGCACAUUGGCAUUGGGAGUAACCGGGGCAUCUUACGAGUUGACGUUGUGAAGCAAAAGAAAGAUGUCUUUAUGAAUAAGUUUCAUACAAUUUAUACCCUGGGGGUUGCUGUCUUUGUUCCACAAGAACACUGAGAGAAAUCCAAAAGAAUCUUGCUAGGUUCUGCCCACUUCAAUGCAAAAUGGAAUACACAUUUUGUUUCUCAAGUGAUCUUAGAAUUCAAGGCUUGAUUUGGGUAUACCCCAAUUAGUUUGGGUAUACCCAAUAAGACAAAAUGUGGUCAUUAUGAAGUAAACCAAGCCACCCCCAAACCUUGUUUUUUAUAAAUGGCUAAAAUGCCCCCACAAUGAUUGGCACUAAUUUAAUUAAAAUGAUUAGAUUAAUUAAAUUAGUUUGGGUAUACCCCA